CGUAGGCAGCGAGCGUUGUUCGGAGUUACUGGGCGUAAAGCGUGCGUAGGCGGUCUUGUAAGUUUGGUGUGAAAUCUCCCGGCUCAACUGGGAGGGUGCGCCGAAAACUGCAAGGCUGGAGUAUGGGAGAGGUAGGCGGAAUUCCUGGUGUAGCGGUGAAAUGCGUAGAUAUCAGGAGGAACACCUGUGGUGUAGACGGCUUACUGGACCAUGACUGACGCUGAGGCACGAAAGCGUGGGGAGCAAACAGGAUUAGAUACCCUGGUAGUCCACGCCCUAAACGAUGCAUACUUGGUGUGGGUAAUUCAUUUUAUCCGUGCCGGAGCUAACGCGUUAAGUAUGCCGCCUGGGGAGUACGGUCGCAAGGCUG
rnacentral:rRNA from 1 species